AACGAACGCUGGCGGCAGGCCUAACACAUGCAAGUCGAACGAGAACGGUUCUUCGGAACUUAGUAUAGUGGCGCACGGGUGAGUAACGCGUGGGAACCUACCUAGUAGUAUGGAACAACAGUUGGAAACGACUGCUAAUACCAUAUACGCCCUUCGGGGGAAAGAUUUAUCGCUAUUAGAUGGGCCCGCGUGACAUUAGCUAGUUGGUAAGGUAACGGCUUACCAAGGCGACGAUGUCUAGCUGGUCUGAGAGGAUGAUCAGCCACACUGGAACUGAGACACGGUCCAGACUCCUACGGGAGGCAGCAGUGGGGAAUAUUGGACAAUGGGCGAAAGCCUGAUCCAGCCAUGCCGCGUGUGUGAUGAAGGCCUUAGGGUUGUAAAGCACUUUCGCCGAUGAGGAUAAUGACGGUAGUCGGAUAAGAAGCCCCGGCUAACUUCG
rnacentral:rRNA from 1 species